UUGCUUUUUGUGGUUAUUGCCAUCAACCGAGUAGUAUAAACCACAACUUGAUAUGGGAUGCGGUAUGCGUUGAGACUCAAAUGCUCAGAAUAUUGGAACAAAGUAUCAUGAAGUUGUUCUCUCUGCAGCUCGUGGCCGGAAGAAAGCGUCCUGGUGGCUACCCGGAUUUGUGACCUCACUAUUGAAAACCUCAGGCACAGGGGUUGCCGAUGUUUCUCUUUGUUGUACACGUUUCAUGCAAUUCAUCAGGCUUAUGAUAGAUUAGGAUCAUUUGUUUUGUCACGAAGACCACCAAUGCUGG